UACAGAGGGGGCAAGCGUUGUUCGGAAUUACUGGGCGUAAAGAGCUCGUAGGUGGUUUGUCGCGUUGUUCGUGAAAACCUGAGGCUUAACCUUGGGCGUGCGGGCGAUACGGGCAGACUGGAGUACUGCAGGGGAGACUGGAAUUCCUGGUGUAGCGGUGGAAUGCGCAGAUAUCAGGAGGAACACCGGUGGCGAAGGCGGGUCUCUGGGCAGUAACUGACGCUGAGGAGCGAAAGCGUGGGGAGCGAACAGG
rnacentral:rRNA from 1 species